rnacentral:lncRNA from 1 species
UAAGGGAGAGAAAGGAUGAUGUCAUGGUUUAAAAUGUACGGGACGAAGCCAGGUGUGGUAGUAUAUGACUGGAAGGCAGAGGCAGGCAGAUCUCUUAAGUUUGAAGCUAGUCUGGUCUUUAUAGCAAGCUCCAGGCCACCCAGGGCUACAUAGACCCUGUCUCAAAAACAAACAAACAAAUAAAUGAAGUGUGUGUGUGUGUGUGUGUGUGUGUGUGUGUGUGUGUGUGUGUGUUUGAUCCUGGUACAUGCAAAUGUCAUAAUGAAACAGGGUACGAUAAUGAAAUAAUGAAACGAUGGAUAUAUGCUAAUAAAAGGGUGAAUGAGUAAUACUGAAGAACUUGAUAACUUGAUGAUCAGCAAUCAGAAUGGAGGUUUUCUUCCAUAUACAGGCUCGGUAUUUUGUGAGUGUGUGCAUGCAUGCAUGUGUAUGGAGGCUAGAAGUCAACUUUAACUGCUUUCUGCUUUUUUUUUUUUUUUUUUUUUUUUUUUUUUGCGACAGUCUCUCACUGUCCUGGGGCUCACAAAUUCUACUACAGCAGCUGGUCCUCAAGCACCAGGGAUCUGCCUGUCUCAAGACAUCCCCAUGAGAGAAUGUAGCAUUCACAAGGCUCAAGCCUUAAAAGUUGCUACAGUGGAAGAGUUAUGGGCUGUCAACAGGAACAUACAAUUCUUUUCAUUACUCUUACCUCAUGCUUCCAUCUGCCAGGGAUUUCUGGCCUGCGGCAGAGCCUUAACCCUCCUUCAGGCCUUGACUUUUGGCUUAAUUAUCAGGACAGCCUCUCAAGAAGCUGCUCGCCUCUCAACACAGCCCCAGGUAAUCCUUUAUAACGAUACAUACUCGGUGACAAAGACCUGCUCUGUGCACAACUCAAGAGGUUAG